rnacentral:misc_RNA from 1 species
UUUCCGUAGGUGAACCUGCGGAAGGAUCAUUAUUGGAUUUUGAAACUUCAGGCUGCUGCUGGCUCUCCUCGGAGGGCAUGUGCACGCUUGUUGUCCAUUAAUUCUCCCACUGUGCACAAAUUGUAGACCUUUCAGUAGGCCUAUGUUGUUUUUCACAAUCUCUGAAUGUAAUAGAAUGGUUUUGAAUCUUGGGAAAUACAAUACAACUUUCAGCAACGGAUCUCUUGGCUCUC